rnacentral:rRNA from 1 species
GAUGAACGCUGGCGGCGUGCCUAAUACAUGCAAGUCGAGCGAACGGACGAGAAGCUUGCUUCUCUGAUGUUAGCGGCGGACGGGUGAGUAACACGUGGAUAACCUACCUAUAAGACUGGGAUAACUUCGGGAAACCGUAGCUAAUACCGGAUAACAUUUUGAACCGCAUGGUUCAAAAGUGAAAGACGGUCUUGCUGUCACUUAUAGAUGGAUCCGCGCUGCAUUAGCUAGUUGGUAAGGUAACGGCUUACCAAGGCAACGAUGCAUAGCCGACCUGAGAGGGUGAUCGGCCACACUGGAACUGAGACACGGUCCAGACUCCUACGGGAGGCAGCAGUAGGGAAUCUUCCGCAAUGGGCGAAAGCCUGACGGAGCAACGCCGCGUGAGUGAUGAAGGUCUUCGGAUCGUAAAACUCUGUUAUUAGGGAAGAACAUAUGUGUAAGUAACUGUGCACAUCUUGACGGUACCUAAUCAGAAAGCCACGGCUAACUACGUG